rnacentral:lncRNA from 1 species
AAAAAAAUUAUGAUAUUAAUAAUGAAACUCUAAAUGUAGGGAGUAAUAAUGAUACUACUAGCGCUUAUUAUAAUGAGAGAAUUGGCUAUACUACACAAAAUACAAAUAAUAUGAAAAAUAUUAAUUGUGAAAGUAAUAAUGAUGUUACCGUAAAUACUACAAAUUUGAAUGAGAAUGCUGUUAACAAGAAUAAUGAAAGCAAAUGCUUUAUUGGUAAUAAAGAUAGCGAUAGCAAAACAGUUAUAAAUAAAGAACAUGACAGUAACAGUUACAAUAUGAAUUGUAUUGAUUCUGGAGACAAUAAUGAGAACAACGAUCAAAUUCGUGAAUGUAAUAAUACACAUAACACACUUUUAAAUAGUAAUUCUGUUUGCAAUAAUUUAAAAAAUCAUCCUACUGCAGGCAAUGAUAAUGAAUUUAAUUCUGAAGACGAUAACACUAAGUGUAUGUAUGAUGAGAAAAUAUGUAAAAAUGAAUAUUUAAAUAUUGAUUUAGACAACAUAUUGUUUAAUACAAAAACAGAAAAAUAUUUAAAAUAUUUAAGUAACAUAAAAAUAUAUGUUUUACGGAAAGUAGAUGAAAUCCAAAAUACUCCCAUAAUUUCCAAAGAUUUGUAUGAUAAAAAAUUAGUUAUAUUAGUAAAAACAAAAUAUGGUACUUGUGUUAAAUCUAAAGCUUUUAUUUUUACAAAUCUACCAAAUAUGCUAAAUGAAUAUUCAUAUUAUACAAAUGACAUGUAUGAGAUAACGGGGGAAAAUGUUAAUAAUUAUAAUAACAGCAGUAUUGAUAAUGCCCUAUCGAAUAAUAACAAUUACAGUAAUGUUAAGAUAAAAAGAGAAAAUUGUAAUUCGUAUGAAAAUGGUUUUACUAAUGAUUUAUUAAUCAAUGAAAAUGAUUAUGUUGAUUUAUGCACGGAUCGUAUAAAGAAGAGUAAUAACGCGGAUGGAGAGAGUAGUGCUUGUUUAUAUCGUAAUAGGUACGACAAUAUAGAUACUAAUAAAAAUGACUUGCAAAAUAUGGGAACAUCUCAAAAUGAUAUGAACCGUAGGAAAGAAAAUGAUAAUGGUGACAAUAUGAUUAAUAGUAUCAGUAAUGAUGAUGCUACUUAUAAUGACGUUAGUGAUAAUGUUAAUGAUGAAAAAAGCGAAUGUGCAUUAGAUAAAAAUAGCAACAUACAGCUUAAUAUGGAGAAAGGAGAGGGUAAUAAUAACAGUUUGAAUUGUAACUUAAAUAAUAAAAAUGGAUAUAACAAUACGAAUACCGUUGUUAAUAUAAUAAAUAAGCAAAAAAGAGAAAGUGCUGUAAUGGAUUAUAAAAGAAAAAUAAUUAAAUUUAUACGUGACAAUGUUUAUAUUAAUUCUUACUUGUAUGAAUGCUUUGAAAAUGUGUACAAGAAUAAGAAUUUUUUUAAAAAAGAUGUGAUAGUAGUUGAUAUGUCAUCCGAAUCGAAUGAAUUAGUGCAUAGUGUCCCAAAUUACAUUAACGAAUUAAAUAAAUUUAUAUUUAUUAAAUUUAUACAUUUUGAUGAAUAUAUAAAAAAGAAUAACAAAGUAGCAGAAAAUUAUGUACAACAUUUACUGCAAAGUAAUAUAAAAUGUAUAAAUGGUUAUAUGAUAGGAUUAAGAUGGGUACCUGAGUAUUUUGCUUAUGAAUAUUAUGUUUGCAAAAUUAUCGAAGGAAGUGCCAAAGAUGCCAACUAUAAGAAUAAUUCCAAAUCUAAUUAUUCAUUAGCUUUACAGAAAGGUUCCAAUGAAAGCUCAUUAAAAUAUUUAGUAGAUUAUGAAAAUAAAAUAAUUAAUAAUGUAUUUUGUGUUUUACAUGAAUAUUAUCAUGCAAGUUUAUUUACAGAAAAAUGUAUUUAUAAUUUAUUUAAAUUAGCACUUUUACGCGUUAGUAAGUAUAUUGAUGUUCUUCAUAUGCAGGUUAUAACUUUAGAUUUAGAUAAGGCUAUAUAUAGAAUAAAAAAAUUUUCAGAACCCAUAAGCUAUUAUGAUUGUACACAAUCUGAAUGUGAUAAUAAUACAAUGAACUGUCAGAAUGUACGAAAGCAUACUUAUAGCAACAAUAACAAGUGUGGUUUUUCUACUACUUUUAAUACAACUGAUAAUGAACAAAACUUAGGUAAAGAUGCUAAUACUUUUUACAGUAAUAAUAACAACGACAUUUCCAAUACUUUAAAUACUGGAUAUAAUGAUAUAUACAAUAACAAUAUUAUAAAGACAACAGAAAAUAUAAAAACAGUAGAUAUUUACAAUACUGUUGAUGUUGUUAAUAAUAGUAGUGGCACUUUUAUGAUAAAAGAUGAAAACCAUUUACAAGAAAACGCAUUAUUUAGCAAUAAAAAUAUGAACGUGGGGUGCAUUGAUAAUAAUGAUUAUGAUGUAUAUGAUGCUAACAAAAUAAACAAUACAUCCUAUAGUGACGUAAAUACAACAAACAAGCAAUCGUAUAUAAAAAAAAUAGCACAUCAUGAUUUAUUUCAUAAAACAAGAGUUGAUAGGAAUACAAAAGACUAUCCAAAAGGUAAAUUAAAGACCAAAAAAAAAGUAAGCUAUAAUUUAGAUAACACAUCCAUUUCGUUAAAAAAGAAAAGAAAGGAAAAUAGCCGUUUGGGACUAAAACAAGGAGUAUUUGACGAAUAUUGUGUAAAAUAUUUUAGUUCUUCAGAAGAGAACAAGUUUAGGAAUAUAAAAAAUGGGAAAACAAAACACCACUAUGCUAGUUCUAGUGAUACUAGUUCGAUUUUUAACUUAGAAUCAACACAUAAAUAUCAUUUACGUAGUAACAAUGCGCAAACGAUGGAUAAUUAUUCCUCUGAAGGAUAUAAUACACGUGGAAAAAUUAAUUUAAAAAAUUCAGAUAAAACACAUAUGUAUAAUACACUAAUGAAUGCAAAAGGUCUUAUUGAACCAUUUUGGUGGUUUUUUUAUAACUUGUAUGAAAAUGCAACAUUAAAAACUGACAAUGACUCUUUUAAUUGUGAUAAUAACGGCCUUGAUAAUAAGAAUAAGAAUAGUAGCAACAGCACUAACAAAAGUAACAAAUUGCAUGUAGUAAAAUUAAAUGCAAAAACAAAAAAAAAAUCUGUAUUAAAGAAAAAAAAGGAUAAAAAAACUAGUUCAAAACAGAAUUCUAAUAAUAACACAGUUGGAAAGGAUAAAAAAACAAAAAUGAAGAAAAAGAUUAAAAAACAAAGCAUGAAUAACAAUGGAAUUGUUACUGAAAAAAAUAACAUAGUUGAAAUGAUCCGUAAAAGAAAGGAAAAUGCUUUAUAUAAAAAGCUUUUAAUAAAAAAGUAUAAAGAUAAUUUAUUAAAUUAUUUUUAUAAAAAAGAAGAUAAUAUAAAAAUUAAGUAUAUUUCGAUGGUUCAUAAUGUUAUAUAUAAAAAAUUUAUACUUUUAAAUAAUACAAUUUUUCCAAAAACUAUACACGACUCUGAAAUAUUGUACACAUUAUUUCCUCACGAAUUUCACACGUUUAUGUUUUUAUUUAUGGAGGAUAAUUUACAGUACCAGAAUGAGACAUUAUUGAAACAUGUUACUUUUAGUGAUUAUUUAAUAUCAUGCAAUAAUAAUAAGGAUAAUAAUAACAAUAGUAUUAAGGAUAAUAAGAUAGAACAUGUAGAAAAUAUGGAAUAUUUGGGAAGUUUAAAUAAUAAAUUAAAUGCUUAUUAUAAUGAAGGCAUUUUACCCAUAGAUAAAUUUUAUGUAGCAGAAAAUAUGAAUAAUAAUAAUAAUGAUUCCACUAGAUUAGGGACAGAUUUUUAUUUAGACCAUUUGAUUAUUGGUGGUCAUACUAAAAACUAUAAUAAUAAUGAUGAUUCAUUUGAUUUCUUGUCAUUAAAUAAUAAUAAUCAUAAUGAUAUUAAUGAUAGUAAUAUUAAUCAUAAUUUCAUAUAUUUUGGUAUGCCAAAUUAUAGAAAAACGAACACAACAAAUAAUGUCAACAUAAACGAUUAUAAUAGUAGUACUAUUUUGAACCCAACAGAAAGAUAUACAAUCGGUUACGAUGACAAUAUUCAAUACAGUAGGAUAUUAGAAAAUGAAGAAGGUGAGGGCAAUUUUUUCAGUCCCUUCCAUUAUGAUACAUAUUAUGAAGAUGAUGAAGAAUAUGAUAAAGAGGAUGAUGAUUAUUUCAAUAUCAUUCAUAAUAAUACUAACAAUAGUGAAAUAGUAAACAGAAGUAAAGAUAAAUCUAUGUCGUCUAAGUCUAAGUCUACUACUGCUACUACGACACCUACCUUUGGAUCUCGCAAAGUAUUUGAUUUCGAAAGGACUAGAAAAAAUGGAAAAAAUACAUAUUAUAAUUACAGUACGAAUGAAGACAAUGGUUUAUUGAGUGGAAGUAAUUUUUUUCAUAAUGUUAAUGAAAAAAGAAGUAUUUCUAAUACUAAUUUUUAUAAAAAAAGUAAAUAUUAUGAAAAUUAUUAUGGAAGUAAUUAUAAGACUACUAGUAAUAAUAAAAGUACUACUACUACUACUGCUACUACUACUAGUAAUAAUAAAAAUAGGAGAAAUGCAAGUGACAAUGAUGUGUCUGUUUUAAUGAACAAGAAAAAGGGUUCUAACAAAAGAACAAAGAGUAAUAAUUUACCCCAUGUUAAAAAUUACAACAAUUUAUAUAACAAAGUAGAGGGUCAAUUAGAAGAAGAUUAUUUGAUACCAAUGGGUCCUUUACCAACAGGGGUGUAUUUUGAUUCAGCUAGAAAAUUAUGGAGAUGCCAAUGGAAAGAAAAUGGUAAAUUUAAAACAAAAGGUUUUAGUUUAAUUCAUUAUAAUACAUUGGAACAAGCUAGAUUAGAAUGUAUUCGUUAUAGAUGUGAAAUGGGUAACAUGGAAGUAAAACAGGAAUGGUUAAAUCCUGUGUACGUUCAUUCGCAUGAUUACAAUAAUAGAAAAUGUGCAAAUAGCACCAACGAUACUAUUAGUACCCAUUCAAAUUAUGGAACCUCCUAUAAGGAAUUAAAAACAAGUUCACUAAAUUUGAGUAGAUUAAAAGAAAAAAUAAAUAAUAACCAAACAAUGACUACUCGUUUUAUGUGUGAAUCUAACAAAGAUUCAAGUGAUAAUAGUUAUGAAAAUAAUUACGGUGUUGUACAUGAUAGUUAUAGUAGUGACAAUAACAGGGGAAAACAUAGUUAUAAUAUGGUAGCUACUGAUUCAAAUAUAGGUGUCAGUUUAAGCUCUAAGAAGGACUCUAAUUCAUUUUUUAAUACUGAUUUUUCUAACUUUGGUAAUAUUUUUAAAAGUAGAGAUAAAUUAAAUAAAAUAAAUUUGUCUACUUUACAAGAAUUUAUUUUAAAAAAUAAGGAAGUCGAACUUAAUAUUAAUGAUAAGAGUAAUGAAACAUUCGAUACAAGCUGUAAUAAUCAGAAGUAUUGUGGCGAUAGACAAAUAAGCACUACAUGGCAAAGGAAAAUUAAUGAGGAGUUGGGUAUGCUGGAUGAAAGAACUAAAGACAUGGUACAAAAAAAGGAGACUAAAGGAAUGGUAAGUGGUACGAUAAAAUACGAUGGUAAUAUUAGUGAUAAUACUAACAACACUGUGCAUGAUAGUAAUGAUAUGAACUACGUAGACAGUGCUAACGACGGAAACCAUUUUGAUAGUACUAACGAUGGAAACCAGUUUGACAACAGUAAAGAUAUUAGCAUUAGUACAAACAUUCGAACUGACAAAGUUUCACCUGCUAACGAGUUUAACAAUUACUUUUUAUCCAUUUUAAAUAUGGCAGUAAAUAACUUGGACAAUUUGGAUAAUUUAAGAAAUACAUGCACAGACAUAAUAAGAAGAGAAAAUGUUUCUGGUAAUGUGACUGAUGAUAAAUCUAUUUUAAUGAAUACUAAUAAUUAUGAUGAUAAAGAUGAUAAAGAUGGUAAAGAUGUUAAAGAUGAUAAAAAUGAUAAAGAUGAUAAAGAUGAUAAAGAUGAUAAAGAUGAUAAAGAUNNNNNNNNNNAUGAUAAAGAUGAUAAAGAUGAUAAAGAUGAUAAAGAUGAUAAAGAUGAUAAAGAUGAUAAAGAUGAUAAAGAUGAUAAAGAUAUUAAUGAUAAUAGUAAUUUGCACGAAAAUAAGAAUGAUAUACAAAAUGAUAUACAUAUAUUAAUGAAUAUGAUAGAUCAUAAAGAGAAUGAUAAAAAUAUAACCAAAUGUAAUUUGAAUAACAUAAACUUAGAUGCACGUAUAAAAAAAAUAAUGGAAAAAGCUAUGAAAAUGAAUAAACUGUCUGGGAAUUAUGGGGACGCAGUGGUUGCGACAAACAAUAUAAAUAGUGAUAGUAAUAUAUUUAAUACAAGUAAUAAUACUGUUUUUAGUAAUGACAACAAUGACGAUAACAAUAAUGGUAGUAACGGCGAAAGCAAUGAAGGUGAUUAUGGUGAUAGUAACGUUAGUAAUAACAAUAACAAGGGCAGUAUGAAGGACAGUGUGAAGGACAGUGUGAAGGACAGUAUGAAGGACAAUGUGAAGGACAAUGUGAACGGCAAUAACAACAGUAACAACGAUAAUAGCGACAGUACCGAUAGUAAUAAGACAAAUGACAUGAUUUAUAGCGAAAAAAAUAACAACAUAGUAAUAAAUAAUGAAGCAUUUGGUUCUAUGAAAACAGUGGGAGUGGAGAGAGAAAUGAAUAAAGAAAAAAACAAAAAUACACAACUAGCACAUGGACAAAAUUCUAUUUUUGAUAACAGAAACACGCAUGAUAAUCAACAAUGGUUGUAUAAUAACAAUAAUAAUAUGAAUAGUAGUGGUACUAAUGCCACUGCUACUGCCAUUACUAAAUCUUCUGUAUUUAACUACAAAAACGAUAAUAAUAAUAAUAAUUAUAAUAAUAAUAAUUAUAAUAAUAAUAAUUAUAAUAAUUAUAAUUUCAACAUGAAACUCAAUAAUAGUGAUAAUACACCUGUGUGUGUAGGAAAAGAAAAUAAUAUGCUAUAUAACAUGAGCGGUUAUGGAAACUACCAGCAAGCUAAUAAAACAUCAUUAACAUUGUCGAAUGAAGACAAUAGCAGCAUUUACAAAAUGAACAAUAUCAUUAACGAAGGGAAAAUGUUAUUGAAUCCUUUGAAUUCUGAAAAAUUUUUUAAAGAUAUGCAGACGUUUUUGACUUAUGCUAGAGGUGUUGAAUCAAGAAGUGGUCAAACAGGUAGUAUAACUAAAAAUGAGAGUACUGGAAUGGGUAAUAUGGAUAACGCAAUAUACAAUAGAAAUAAUGUUAUUAGUAAAAAUAAUAACAAAAUGGGUAAAAUAAAAAAAGAUACUACUGACGUUCAAGUCGAAAAAAAUAAAUGUGCUAAAGUUGAUUUGAACACCUUUAUUAAUAAUAGUAUUAAGAAUAACAUUGUAGGUGGUAAUGGAGAUUGUGAAAAUUAUUUAAAAAUAGUUAUGAAUAAAUAUAAUAAAGAAGUGAAAGAUAAGAGUAAAAAAACAAAAAAAAAUACCAGAAUGGACAACAUAAAUAAUAUGCAUGGUAAUUUUAAUAAUACUGAUUUUAUGUAUGACGAAACGAAUAAUAACAUGUUAACGCAGUAUCAGAAAUUGUCGAAGGAAUAUGGUAAGAAUUAUGGAGACGUUUUAAAUGAAACAGGAAGCACGUUUAAUAAUAAUAAUAACAAAUAUAAUAAUAAUAACAAAUAUAAUAAUAAUAACAAAUAUAAUAAUAACAAUAGUCAGCAUAUAAUGGAAGAUAAAACAGUAUUAAAUAGUGAUAAUAAUUUUGAGUAUACAAAAGAACAGGAACAUGCUGAAAUGGUAUAUGGAGAGAAUGAUUAUAACACACGAAAGAAAAAAGGGUCCUUUACAUCAAACAUGAGUCGAAUUAACAGUGACUACUAUUUUUACAAUGACAAUUAUGAUGAAAAUGAUUUAGAUAAUAUGUUUAUAAAUGAUAAUAUGAAUGAAUUACCAAAUAAGAAUAACAUGCACAUAAGAAAUAAUUUAAUGAAAAAAGUCCAACAAAAACAAGGGGUGCGAGGUGAAUAUAAUAAUGCUAACAGUUAUAAUUAUAUUCAAUCGCGUAUAUCGUCACCACAAUCAUCAAAUAUGACAAAAAAAAAAAUGAUGAAUACUGAUUAUUAUUCACAUUUUGAGAAUACACAAGAAGAAGAAGAAGAAGAAGAACAACAACAACAACAACAACAAGAACUAAAGCAAGAAAAAGAAAAGGAAAAGGAAAAAGAAAAAAAAAAAAUGUAUUAUGAAAAUGUAGAUAGGAAAUAUAAAUGGAGAAGCGGUAAUGAACUAUCAGCAACAGAAGAUCUUGAUGUUAAUAUGAUAAAGCAGUCGUUACCAAAAGGAAUAUAUUAUGACCAUACUAAAAGAUUAUAUAGGGUUCAAUACUUGGUAAAUGGUACGGUUAAAACUAAAGGUUUUAGUGUUAAAAAACUAGGGUUAGAACUAGCUAAGCAACAAGCAGAGCAAUUUAGAGAAGAAUGUUUAGGUCAAGGUUUAUUGAAUUCUCGUAAAAGAAGGAUUAAUUCACCCUAUAAUAAGAAGGUGGAUAAUAGCAAGGCAAUAGUUGAAGCGAAUGAUUGUUUAUUAAACAAUUUUAUGUAUAUAUAUAACACAGACUCUUAGGAACAAUAGCCACAUAUCAAUAAACCGUGUAACCGGUUGACGUGAGGUUAUGUA